rnacentral:rRNA from 1 species
UACGGAGGAUGCGAGCGUUAUCCGGAUUUAUUGGGUUUAAAGGGUGCGUAGGCGGUCCGUUAAGUCAGCGGUAAAAUUGCGGGGCUCAACCCCGUCGAGCCGUUGAAACUGUCAGACUUGAGUUGGCGAGAAGUACGCGGAAUGCGCGGUGUAGCGGUGAAAUGCAUAGAUAUCGCGCAGAACUCCGAUUGCGAAAGCAGCGUACCGGCGCCACACUGACGCUGAGGCACGAAAGCGUGGGGAUCGAACAGG